rnacentral:lncRNA from 1 species
UUCUUCCCCCCAAAGAUGAGCCUUCUUCCCCCCAAAAUUUUCAGCCCAAAUUUUCAGCAAAACAAAUCGAUCUCUUCCUGAACGCCAUUUUUACUCUGUUCUUCAUCACUCAAUACACACUCGUUUCUCCUCUCCCCUCGAACCCUAACCAACCGGCGGCAACCUCUACCCCACAAGAAAACCCUAAUUACUAACCGGCAGCAACCAUUUCCUCACCUGCGAAAACCCUAAUUACCUAACCGGAGAAAACCCCAAUCACCUAACCUACGGCUACAAACCCUAAUCGGAGUGUAAUAGGAGGAGGAGGUUGUUGUUAUACCUUUUCACUUGAGCUUGAACCAAGACAUAAAUAGAUUUUACGCGAACGCAACCGACCUUACCAGUCAAAAUGAUAUUGGUGGUGAACAAGUUACUUCUGUGCUUGAAGAAAUGGCGAAUCUUGAUGAUCCGAAAGUGGUUGCUCUCGAGUUUGAUAAUUUAUGCAGCUAGCUGAAACCGUGUAGAUAUUAUCCCAAAGUGUAUUAGCACUAUUGGUUUUGGUAAUAUCACGUUAUGUUUUGUUAGGCGUUUUUCUACGGAUCGGGUUACAAGGCUUGAAGAGGUCGGUUUGGGUUGCAAGGCUUGAAGAGGUCGGUUUGGGUUGCAAGGUUUGAAGAGGUCGGAUCGGGUUCAUUUUCGAAAAACAUGUACUUUAAGGAAUCUUGUCAAAUAUUAGUUAUAAUUUGUUUGUUUGUUAUUUUUAUUUUAAGACAUUAUUUGUGUAUUGAAGUUAUUAAUUGGGAAAUUUAAUGGAUUUUUU